rnacentral:lncRNA from 1 species
AGGCGCUGACGCACUCUCUCCCAGCCUGCCGGACUCCCUCCGCUCCGGCACAAACACUUGCUCCUUCGCCGUCGGUAGAGACCUCGGCUGUGCACCGAUUGUAAAACCGAAGCGGUCAGCAGGGGUCAUGAGGGUGCCGGAGGCCCCGGUUGCUGUUCAGAGCAGCUGAAGCAGACAUGGGCAGAGAAGUCUCGGAUGGAAUUGGCAGGCUCAGCCUCAUUGCCCUCACCAGUCACAUCCUCCUUCGCCACAACCACCACUGGCUACGUAUCAAGUCCCCUCUAUUUGCCAGAAUCUCCCAGUUAGACUUGCAAUGAGAAUGUCUGAUACCGCUGACACUGAAACAAUGAAGGUUUCUGAGGCCGUCGACCCGGUGUCAUCUUCAAAAGACAAUGCCUCCAAGUCUGACGUUUCGGAGCAGAGCCAGAGCAGUAGAGAUGAACAAGGCGGCAGCAGCAAGAGGGACACACAGCCUGUGAAGUACUCUAAGGUACGGUACGAUCGACAUGCAUGUUGUGCCAGGAUGCUGCGACGUCAUGUCUCAUUUGCACUUGGAUUGCGAUGUUUGCUUGGAUUGACUUGGAAGUUGUGCGUGUUAUCGUACGCAUUGCUGCAGAUGUUCAAAAUUACCUCGGUGCAAUAUGUUAAGACAGUGUAGGCAAUGUCUCAGAGGUGACACGGUUAGAGAUGAACAUUUCCUUUGUGC